rnacentral:lncRNA from 1 species
AGGGUUGAUAGCACCAAAUUAUUGAUGCUAUUAGGUUUUCAGCUAUUAGAUGAAAAAAUAUACGGUUACGAUGAUGUGGGUCAUCUAGGGUUGAGUGAGUUAUUGAUUGAAUAGUAUAAUUUAAUAGGUAAAAAUAAUCAAAGAGUUAAAUUUAACGGUGGAAAAAUUGGUAGCACUAAGUGCUUGGUGCUAUCGAUAAUAUCCCGGCCGGACUAUAUAUAUAUAUAUAUAUAGAGAGAGAGAGAGAGAGAGAGAGAGAGAGAGAGAGAGAGAGAGAGAGUUCGGCCAGGAUACUAUCGAUAGCACGAAGCAUUUUGUGCUAUCAAGUUUUCUGCCAUUAGAUUUGCCUCUUUUAUCAUUUU